AAAAUAAUGAAAAAAAUGAUGUGUGGAAACAGAAAUCAGACCUAGAAAAUUCAGUCCCCCAUAAACGAGUUCUUUGGGUUUUGGAGAUAAAUAUGGCUGUAAAAAGAGUACUCUCAGUGGUCUUGACUUUUUGAUGUGUAGGGAAUACUUAAAAAAAUCUGGUUUAGGUUUAGUUUAUGAGGAUUUUCUCCCUCACGAAUAUAACUCUAUGCUUCCUUUCAGCAUUUGAAGUGAAGAUGGAGCCCUUAGGAGAAAUAUAUUGUAGCUCAUUUAUGAAGAACUUUCAUUUUAUGUCCUUCCUGAGUGAAGGAGAAACUCUCUGGAGCGCUUUCAGUGAGGAGUAAGUCUGAUGUCAUGUAAUAGACCACUAAGCGUAAACGACUCUUCCAGAAAGAGAAAGAAGUUGUGUAACUACCUGACUUUAUUCUCUGAGAAGCAAACCCAUGAAUCACAGCCGAGGCAGACACUCUUCAGCUCGCGUGUGAGACUCACAGAGAGUUCACCUUCCCAUAGGCAGACAACAAGUAAACCAACAUGAUGAUUUCAGAUAGUGGUAAGUUCUCUGAAGAAGUAAACCUGGAAAGGGAAUCAAGAGUGAUGGUGGGCACAGGUGUGGGGGGACACUUUUUGAGAUAGGGUGAUCCCUCAGGGCAGGUCUCUCAUAGUCUCUGAAACAUCAGACUUGUAGUCCUUUUACUUGCAAAUAGUCCCUUCCGGGUGUCAUCAUGCAGUGAGCUGGGGAGGUGAUUAUAUCUGUGUGCUGAGGCCAGAGGUAUCAUCCUCUCAAUAAUUUCAGUUCAGUCAUUGGCAUGAAAAAGGAAGGAGACACUGUUGAUUUCAGGAAGAAAAAUGGGCUUGACUUUUUUCUGUAGAGAAAUUAUUGAUGUUUCCAGUGGCCUCUUCUGC
rnacentral:lncRNA from 1 species